rnacentral:rRNA from 1 species
CGAGCGGACAGAAGGGAGCUUGCUCCCGGAUGUUAGCGGCGGACGGGUGAGUAACACGUGGGUAACCUGCCUGUAAGACUGGGAUAACUCCGGGAAACCGGAGCUAAUACCGGAUAGUUCCUUGAACCGCAUGGUUCAAGGAUGAAAGACGGUUUCGGCUGUCACUUACAGAUGGACCCGCGGCGCAUUAGCUAGUUGGUGGGGUAAUGGCUCACCAAGGCGACGAUGCGUAGCCGACCUGAGAGGGUGAUCGGCCACACUGGGACUGAGACACGGCCCAGACUCCUACGGGAGGCAGCAGUAGGGAAUCUUCCGCAAUGGACGAAAGUCUGACGGAGCAACGCCGCGUGAGUGAUGAAGGUUUUCGGAUCGUAAAGCUCUGUUGUUAGGGAAGAACAAGUGCGAGAGUAACUGCUCGCACCUUGACGGUACCUAACCAGAAAGCCACGGCUAACUACGUGCCAGCAGCCGCGGUAAUACGUAGGUGGCAAGCGUUGUCCGGAAUUAUUGGGCGUAAAGGGCUCGCAGGCGGUUUCUUAAGUCUGAUGUGAAAGCCCCCGGCUCAACCGGGGAGGGUCAUUGGAAACUGGGAAACUUGAGUGCAGAAGAGGAGAGUGGAAUUCCACGUGUAGCGGUGAAAUGCGUAGAGAUGUGGAGGAACACCAGUGGCGAAGGCGACUCUCUGGUCUGUAACUGACGCUGAGGAGCGAAAGCGUGGGGAGCGAACAGGAUUAGAUACCCUGGUAGUCCACGCCGUAAACGAUGAGUGCUAAGUGUUAAGGGGGUUUCCGCCCCUUAGUGCUGCAGCUAACGCAUUAAGCACUCCGCCUGGGGGAGUACGGUCGCAAGACUGAAACUCAAAGGAAUUGACGGGGGCCCGCACAAGCGGUGGAGCAUGUGGUUUAAUUCGAAGCAACGCGAAGAACCUUACCAGGUCUUGACAUCCUCUGACAACCCUAGAGAUAGGGCUUUCCCUUCGGGGACAGAGUGACAGGUGGUGCAUGGUUGUCGUCAGCUCCUGUCCUG